UCGAGAAUCUUCCACAAUGGACGAAAGUCUGAUGGAGCGAUGCCGCGUGAUUGAUGAAGUCUUUCGGGACGUAAAGAUCUUUUUUCAAGGAGGAAUUUUUGACGUUACUUGAAGAAUAAGGGGUUGCUAAACUCGUGCCAGCAGCAGCGGUAAUACGAGUGCCCCGAGCGUUAUCCGGAAUUAUUGGGUGUAAAGGGUGUGUAGGCUGAUAUAUUAGUCUUUUGUUAAAGCUCCCGGCUUAACCGGGAAAAAGCAGAAGAAACGGUAUGUCUAGAUGGUGUGAGAGGUGAAUAGAACUCUAAGUGUAGGGGUGAAAUCCGUUGAUAUUUAGGGGAAUACCAAAAGCGAAGGCAAUUCACUGGCACAUUUAUGACGCUGAAACACGAAAGCGUGGGUAGCG
rnacentral:rRNA from 1 species